rnacentral:rRNA from 1 species
UGGCGACCAUAGCGUUGUGGACCCACCUGAUUCCAUGUCGAACUCAGAAGUGAAACGCAAUAGCGUCGAUGGUAGUGUGGGGCUUCCCCAUGUGAGAGUAGAACAUCGCCAGGCU